rnacentral:misc_RNA from 1 species
UACGAGUGCCCCAAGCGUUAUCCGGAAUUACUGGGCGUAAAGAGUCUGUAGGCGGUUUUGUUAGUCUUCUGUUAAAUCUCCCGGCUUAACCGGGAAGCGGCAGGGGAAACGGCAAAACUAGAGGAUGUGAGGGGUUAAGGGAACUCAUAGUGUAGGGGUGAAAUCCGUUGAUAUUAUGAGGAACACCAAAAGCGAAGGCACUUAACUGGCACAUUCCUGACGCUGAGAGACGAAAGCGUGGGUAGCGAACGGG